GUGGGGAAUAUUGGACAAUGGGCGCAAGCCUGAUCCAGCCAUGCCGCGUGCAGGAAGACGCAUCUAUGGUGUGUAAACUGCUUUUGUACGGGAAGAAACACUCCCUCGUGAGGGAGCUUGACGGUACCGUAAGAAUAAGGAUCGGCUAACUCCGUGCCAGCAGCCGCGGUAAUACGGAGGAUCCAAGCGUUAUCCGGAAUCAUUGGGUUUAAAGGGUCCGUAGGCGGUUUAAUAAGUCAGUGGUGAAAGCCCAUCGCUCAACGAUGGAACGGCCAUUGAUACUGUUAGACUUGAAUUACAAGGAAGUAACUAGAAUAUGUAGUGUAGCGGUGAAAUGCUUAGAUAUUACAUGGAAUACCAAUUGCGAAGGCAGGUUACUACUUGUGGAUUGACGCUGAUGGACGAAAGCGUGGGGAGCGAACAGGAUUAGAAACCCUAGUAGUCC
rnacentral:rRNA from 1 species